rnacentral:lncRNA from 1 species
UUUUCUUAUUUUUUUAAUUAAUGUAAAAAUAUAUGUGCCAAUAGUUGUUUAUAUUAAAGUUUAGAAUUAAUCAUCCUAAUCAUUAGAAUGAUUUGAAUUGUAAAUAUGAUUGAAUCUCGAUAAUUUGAAAUUAUAAUUUCAAAAUCGAAAUGUAUUUUUCAUAUUCUUCUAACAAUAAUUGGAAUAUUCAUCAUGCUUUCAUAUCGAGCUAAUCAUCUUUUAUCAAUCAAUUGUCAUUUGUCAGUCAAGUAUCUGUCUAAUUGUUAUACAUCUCAUAACUCAACUUGAUUUGUUUCACAUUUCCUUUUUCAUUUAUGCAUAUCUUUAAUUAUCACUUUCACGUUUACAUAUUUUAACUGUAGAUACGAAUGAUUAUUAUCUUUGAGCGUUCGAAAAAGAUAAGACAAAAUCUCUGCAAAUUUUAAUUCUCAUAUCUCAAGAUUCGUGUUAAAUCUUAUAUUUGUUUAUUCGAUAUUCGAUGAGAUUAAUAUCAAAAGAAAAUUGCAUCCACAAUUUUUUAAUUAUUUAAUCAAUUUAAUCACGCGCAAAUAUUGUGAAACGAAAUAAAAACAAUUUCAGAUGAAAAAGACUCUACAAAGAAGACUUUAAUAUCAUAUUAUAUCUGUAAUUUGUCAUUCGUCGGUUAAUUAACUAUUAGUUAUCUAAUUAGUUUAUAAUUAAACUUAUCAUGCAACAAAACUUUGAAACUAAAUGACACCGGGAAUGAGUAGAGUAAAAUCAUGUUCUAUAGAAGAUUUCGAUGUCGCAAUAUCGAAAGUAUAUUCGGACAUCGCGUUAACCACGGAAACAGUCGUCGAGAACGCGUGGAAGUAACUUUCGCCUUCGUGAGAGGCACGAAGCCUACAACACGCAGCAGCUGUAUCUACUUUUCGGGCAAGAACUUGACCCACAAUUCCGGAAAUGGAAAUAAAAGAAGAUUCAUUGCCAUCGUCCUCGUGGUAGUCGUCGCAAUGGCCGUGGUUCCCUCGACUUUCUCUCUCGCCGGGGAAAAUAUUUCGCCAGGAAUCGAGCGAAAUAAAAAAAAAAAAAGAGAAAAAUCAUUAUUUACAAGGGAGAAUACAACCAUGUAUGGUUGAAUGGCGUCGAAUUCGAUACAUGGAAGCGGCAACGAAAGCGAUGGAUGAAAAAGAAAAAGAAAAAAAGAGGGAAAAAUUUUAGACGUACACUUUCUAAAAGUACGCGCUUACGCGAGACGUGUAUAUUCAUGUAGAAAGGUUUUUAUGAAUUUUUCGAAGCAACAACCGGCCUCUAGAUCAAUUUCUAAUGUUGAAGAAUGAAGAAAAAUAAUAGAAGAAGAGUGAAUUUUACUUUUAUCGUUUUCUCUUUGCGCACGUUAUGUCGAAAUGUUGAUCGUAUCGAUGAUUUUUUUAUCGUUUUGACCGUUGUUUGAAUAAAUAUUUAUUUCGAGAACUUUUUAAUUAUGCAACUUUAUUCGUUGCAUAAUUAAAAUUUUAUAUUUAAUCAAGUUACGGUUCAAAAAAAAAGAAUCUCGAGUGAGUUAUAUCUAUUCUUAAUUACUUUUCGAGCAAUUCAUUUGGAAUAAUAACGAAAUAAUUUUAAUUUAUGUUUGUGUGAUACGUCCUAUAUAUUUUAUACUUUAUUUCAAAUUUAUCUAAGAAUAAUUUCUUACAGAAUGGAAGAGGACAAAAAUGGAAGUUAUAAAUGAAAACUUUGAUCGAGAUCGUUCUGCUUCGCUAUUAGAUUACUUCCUCUUACGUAGAGGAAGGAAAUCUGUCUUCAAAAGCGAAUUUUAUGAUCGACAAAUAUGAUAUACGAUGGCUGUUGGAAAAUAUCCGGUCAAAACGUAAUCACAUUAUUGAAACUUAAACUUUUCCAACGUUUUUAUAUCAAUUAAAUUUACGUAAAAAUUUACGUUACUUGUGUUAUUUACUAGUAGAUUAGUAGAUUAAUUAUAAUAAGAAAUAACAAAAUACAUCGAUUAUAUAAUUUCGCUUAAGUAUAUAUGCAAAUCAUCGUCUGACAUUAACACCUUCGCACGGCAAUAUUGAUUAAAAUUAUUAAUGAUCUUGGAGAUUUGAGAAAAAAAUUGAUAGAACUAUAAAAGUACUUAUUAGACAAGUCUUAAGUUCGACAAAACCCUCAACACUUUCAACUUAACGUUCUAAAUACGAGAAAUAUGUGCAAAAUGUCGAGGAAAGUUUGAAGAAAGUAAAAGAAGAAAAAUAAAGAAAAAAAAAAACAAUUUAUAAUAAGAGAGCAAACGAAGAAAUAUCGUUUUCGAAAUAAAUACCAAGUAAUUUUUAUCCUUAUUAAUUGUCAUUGCCAUCAAUUGUGAUAUUAAUUCACCACGUACAAAUUGUGUACAAGGAAGCAGAAAAAAGUAAAAAGAUGAAAGAAAAGAAGAAACGAGAAAAAAACAAGUCCGACUUAUUCAUUGUCAAAUUAAGAAUCAACGCGUAACAAGUUUUUCAUCCAACAACGAUCACGAUAAAUAAUUCAACGUGUUUCAGGCCGCGAGUGAAAAGAAGGGUAAUGCGAUUCAGCAAAUCAGCUGGGAAACUUGAAGCGAGUAGACGCGUUUAUGUGAUAAUAGAAAAUUAUAUCUCGUGGAAAAAGAACGGGAAAAGGGAAUGUUAGCUUCUCGUGCGUGCCAGAAGAGCGAGAGAAGAUAAAACCGUAUGAAAGUUUCGGAUUCGUGUGAAAGUGCGCGGAAUCUUCUCUCGAUUCUGCUACACUCUUGAGAACCACGAGCAUCUCGUUGGAUAACGAAGACAAUCGAAAAGCAGAAUUGAAUGAAUUUUUAGACGAAUUAAAAAGGGAAUACGAUUUGAUUCAUUUGUUUUUUCGAUUGUGAAUUUUAUUCAUUUCUAAUAAUUUCCAAGUUGAAUUUUAAGUAGACAAUUUCUUUUUUUAUAAAAUAUUAUAAAUUAGUAGUAGAGUCGAGAAAUUGGAAUAAGAAAUUAUUGUUAAUUGGUUAUGCAAGUAAAACUUUAAUCUUAUAAUUCAAAUUAAUAACAAUUUUAUUAAUAUUUUUAUGUUCUAGUAAUUAUCAGGUCGGUGUAAAAAAGAUUUAUUUCAUGGCGAUUAGCUUCCAUAUUUAUCGAUAAUAAAUUUACCGGUAUCAACAGUUGGAAUAGAGAUUGCACAACUAUUAAUGUCAUUACAUGAAUCCGCAAGGAAUUGACACUCUCUUUGACGAGUCUAUGAUUGUAUCAUCGUGUUAUUUUAAACUUUUCCAGAUGAAAUAUCUUUAUACAAUUGAUCAAACAGAGAAAUUACACUUGUAAAACUGUAUUGAAUUUAAUUUAGAAGAGGAAAAAAAAAUACUCUAAUCAAAACAAGAUGUAGAUGUAAAUAUAUAUCAAGAGAUUCAACGAGACAAUUUAUUUUCAUUAAACGAUAUUUGAAAUAACUCAUUUGCAUUCAGCAUGCAAUAAUACAUGUUAUUACAUGACACAUAUUUAGCCUUAUGUGUCAAUCAACGGGAACACAUAAGCAUCAUUAUCUGAACUGCACAUAAAUGGAAACAAUGCUUAUAUCAUUUGCGACAGAUGUAUGAUAAAUUUAUUCCAUUUUGAUCUUCGAAAGCUAACAGUGGGUCAAAAUGAUUUAAAAAUACAUGUAUCGAUGAUCCAAAGUAAUUGAUCUAGAAACACUUAUUAAUAUCUACAUAAAAUAAUGAUAAAAUAAAAAUUGAUCAAUUAUAAUAAAAGAAAAAUACACAUCAUGCUGCAGAUAAUUAUUAAUUUAAAAAAUCUAGAAACUAGUUGAAACGUAUAUAUCGUGGAAAGGCAAACUAAUUGUGCGUAAGAAAUACAUAUCUGAUUAAUUUUUUAUUUUAACAUUAACAUUUUUUUUUAAAUAAACUUGUAAUUACACUUAAAUGAAACAAGCAAUUCAAUAAUUAAUAGUCUAUUUACAAAUAUUCUUCUACAAAAAAACAGAAUCAGAAUUGGCAUUCAACUAACAUUACCAAGUUUCAAUAGAACCUAGUGAAGAAAACUACUUUAACGUAACUAUUUUGUAUUAAACCACAAGUAUAUAGAAUACCUAUUA